UUGACCUCAAAUCGGGUGAGACUACCCGCUGAACUUAAGCAUAUCAAUAAGCGGAGGAAAAGAAACUAACAAGGAUUCCCCUAGUAACUGCGAGUGAAGCGGGAAAAGCUCAAAUUUAAAAUCUGGUGGUCUUUGGCCAUCCGAGUUGUAAUUUAGAGAAGCGUCUUCCGCGCUGGACCGUGCACAAGUCUCCUGGAAUGGAGCGUCGUAGAGGGUGAGAAUCCCGUCUUUGGCACGGACGCACCAGGGCUUCUGUGAUGCGCUCUCGAAGAGUCGAGUUGUUUGGGAAUGCAGCUCAAAAUGGGUGGUGAACUCCAUCUAAAGCUAAAUAUUGGCGAGAGACCGAUAGCGAACAAGUACCGUGAGGGAAAGAUGAAAAGCACUUUGGAAAGAGAGUGAAACAGUACGUGAAAUUGUUGAAAGGGAAACGCUUGAAGUCAGUCGCGUCGCCCGAGACUCAGCCUUGCCUCGGCUUGGUGUACUUCUCGGCCGACGGGUCAGCAUCAAUUUUGCCCCUUGGAUAAUGGCGAGGGAAAUGUGGCACCUUCACSGGUGUGUUAUAGUCUCUCGUCGCAUGCAAGGGUCGGGAUUGAGGAACUCAGCACGCGCCUUUCGGCGUCGGGGUUCGCCCACGAUACGUGCUUAGGAUGUUGGCGUAAUGGCUUUAAACGACCCGUC
rnacentral:rRNA from 1 species